rnacentral:rRNA from 1 species
CCUACGGGUGGCUGCAGUGGGGAAUAUUGGACAAUGGGGGCAACCCUGAUCCAGCCAUGCCGCGUGUGUGAAGAAGGCCCUCGGGUUGUAAAGCACUUUCAGUGAGGAAGAACGCCUGGUGGUUAAUACCCAUCAGGAAAGACAUCACUCACAGAAGAAGCACCGGCUAACUCCGUGCCAGCAGCCGCGGUAAUACGGAGGGUGCGAGCGUUAAUCGGAAUUACUGGGCGUAAAGCGCGCGUAGGUGGCUUGAUAAGCCGGUUGUGAAAGCCCCGGGCUCAACCUGGGAACGGCAUCCGGAACUGUCAAGCUAGAGUGCAGGAGAGGAAGGUAGAAUUCCCGGUGUAGCGGUGAAAUGCGUAGAGAUCGGGAGGAAUACCAGUGGCGAAGGCGGCCUUCUGGACUGACACUGACACCGAGGUGCGAAAGCGUGGGUAGCAAACAGGAUUAGAUACCCGUGUAGUC